UAGUGGUGUGACAUAGCAUAGGGCACAGAAACAGCUGCAGGAGGAAUUUCACUUUGUGAAGUCACAGAUGCAUAAAACAGCUACAUUUCUUUUCUGUUGAGGGCCUGGGAAGUCACAGAUUGUAAGCCACGCAUUGCAGGAGCCCAGGAGGGCUCUCAGAGAGCACUAAGCUGAAUGAAGCUUAAUAUUCUUCAUAAAUAAAUCAUGCAGUGCAAGACAUGUGGGAAGCACGAAUAGAGGGAAAAGAAGCCCUGUCUGAAUUUGCCUGGCAAACUUCACAGAAUACUGGCCUGCUGCCUUUCAUCACUGAGAAAUCACGCAGCACCUUCUCAGCUAUUCAUGCAUGUGCAGUCUUGUAUUUGUGGUUGCAAGGAAAACCAUGUUUUGCUUUUCGCCCUGUAAAUGAAAACGUAGUUGCUGAAGCUGCAUGUGAUGGAGUUGUUAUUUUCUACCAGAUCCUCUUGGACUUCAAGGGAAAAAAAAAGGCACUUCUGCACAAAGCAUCUAACCUCCGCUGAAGCUCACAGAGAUUUCUGAGGUCCAAUGGUAUGUCAGUGAUCGCUGCUCAGGAGUCUGUUCUUCACCUGUACUUCCAGAGCUCUUUUCUUGAGGAUUUAGCCAAUUUCUCACUGCCACACUUAAAUUUGACUCAAGGGGACUAUGGACACAUGUAACACAGAGGACAGACUCUUCAGUCUGUUGUGAUAGGACAAGGGGAAAUGGUUUCAAACUAAAUCAGGGGAAAUUUAUAUUGGAUGUAAGAGAAAAGAUUUCACAGUAAGGAUAAUGAAGCACUACAUCAGGUUUUCCGGAGAGGUAAUUGAUGCUGCUCUGCCCCAUCCCUGGUGCAGAAGGAUGAAAUUCUCAUUUUUGUCCUCUGGUGAUCAAUGGAAAAACCACAGUGUAUUUCGGCAGGAACAGCAAAGCAUGCCUAAUGCUUCUUCCCCAGAGAAAACAGUAAUACUUAACAAUUCCCACUGCAGCAGCAAAGUCCCUCACUAUCUGUGCAGGCUGGUGGUGAUCUGAAGAAAGGUCACGUACAGGUCACAGAUUUCCCUUUGAACAGAUCCAGGAGCCCCUGUACCCUGCAAAAGUGGCGGUGAAAAGCACUCAAAGUAUCGCAGCUGUCAUUCUAGAUCACAGGUUCCAGCAGGUAUGGACAUGUAUUAUCUUGCUUCCCAAUCAGCUCUGCCCUCUGUUCACCCCACAGCCCGAUUUUGUGGAUUCAGGAAACUUCCUACAUUCAAGCUGCACUCCAAGCUCACCGGUUUCAGCAGGAUGUCAGGGUUGAAUUCACGUCUGAAAUAGUGAGCUUUCUAUCAUGCCUUGCUUCUGGCUCUCCUCCUUCCUUCUUUUUAAAACACCGGAAACCAAUAACAAAAGCAAGGUUAAAAAAAGGUUAAAAUCUAACUUUCAUGCUGGAUUUGCAGACCUUCUGAGAGGGCUCAUUGCAUUUCUGCUACGUUUCUACUGCAUAAAAACACAUCUCAUAGCUGCAUAAGCAAUAGAGAUGAGUGCUAUCUGGCUGUGGAACCAUAUAAUGGACUUCAGCUUCUCAAGAUUAACACAUUUAUUCAUAGAAGUAGAUAAAAUGUGUGCAGAAUUGCCCCUUUCUGUAAUAAAACUCCGUGAAAAGAGGAUUAUGCAUUUUUCUAAAGCAUUCCUUUUGGAACGAUGCUUCCUUUUUUUUUUUUUUUUUCACUACUGAGCAAGGUAGAUUUCAUAAGUUUGGUUUCUGAUGAUAAAUUGGAUCUAGCAAGUCUCUACAUCUUUGAAAGUGACAGCUUCCCCGUUAGCCUAGCUGUAUUUUCUUCUGUGCUUGAGCCCUUUUUCAUGUAAUUCAGUCACAGAGCUUUUUUAAACUUCACAGCCUGGCGUUCCCUUUCUUUAUCUUGAACCCUGUGGGAUAAGGUGUGUUGCCUCCAUGUUCUUGUACUUUUUAGAGUCAUCUUCCAAUGCCAUGUAGAGAUUGGAGCUAUCCUUUUCUAUCUCCAGAUUUGUAAUGCGCACCUUGCAUUACAAAAAUAUGAAAUUGUUUGAGGAAUUAUCUCCAUUUAUCUCUUCAAAAAACAACCGAACAAAAAAACUGGUUUUCAUUGAAACAAAAUCCUCUAAGAUGUGCGAAACAGUGACCUUUAACUUAAAAGUUUAUUCUCAAGCAGUUAUUCAGUCCUGGUGAUCUAAACUGCUGUGACAUAAAACCUUGAAGCCAUCAACACAGUGACAAGGGCUAUGCCUGUACUGACCACUUUUGAGGGACAGUUCUGCAAGGAUGCACAAGCACUUCUGUGACAUUCUGGGCUCUCACUAUCAAGAAAUGAGGUCUAUUCACAAGCACAGCAGCCAAUACCUGGCAUUUUUAGCUCUGAAGCCAACCAUCACUGAGCAGGACUACGUGAGAUGUUCAGAGCAGUAGAACGUCUGAGACUCAAAAACCAUGUGGAUGUGGCAUUGAGGGACAUGGUUAGUUAGCAUGGUGGGAAUGGGUUGAUGGUUGAACUAGAAGAUCCUAGUGGUCUUUUCCAACCGUAACGAUUCUAUAAUUUGACCAAAUAGUGCCUGAUAACUCUGUCUCUGUGUCUAACGGUGAACAAACAUCUCCAACUGCAAGUCCUAGAAGUCUUUGGUUAUGGAAAAAGCAGCAGGGAAGAACAUAGCAUGUUUUUCACACUUCAGUGAUUAGCACAAAAAUAAGAAAUUUAAGAACUGGUAAAGCUAACGUGCAUGUGUCUGGUAUGCUCUUCUUUUCCCUGACAGUCUACAUGAAGGGACAUUUCAGGCCCUAAACUAUCUUUGGGCCCAAUUAGGCAGUGGUAAUUUACUUGCUGUCACUGCUGUCACUUUCAUUUUGAUGCUCUUGUAAAUAAAAACCUUU